UACGAAGGGGGCUAGCGUUGCUCGGAAUUACUGGGCGUAAAGCGCACGUAGGCGGCUCUUUAAGUCGGAGGUGAAAUCCUGGAGCUCAACUCCAGAACUGCCUUCGAUACUGGAAGACUUGAGUCCGGGAGAGGUGAGUGGAACUGCGAGUGUAGAGGUGAAAUUCGUAGAUAUUCGCAAGAACACCAGUGGCGAAGGCGGCUCACUGGCCCGGUACUGACGCUGAGGUGCGAAAGCGUGGGGAGCAAACAGG
rnacentral:rRNA from 1 species